UACCACGUCACGGUUGUACGCCUCCACCAACCAGUCAAGUUGCAGUUUACAUCCACGUCUGUCCAAAAUGUCAUCACUUCAUCAUUUUAUCCUGUUAGACAUUUCUGUGAAAUGGUCAUAAUUAACAUAUGAAUUCUGAAGUUAUGGCCAAAAACAUGUUUUCUGAGGU